ACCACAGUAUAUUGUGUACUGCAAGAGUCGUAGUAUAGCCUUGAAGCUUGUUUAUGCAUUAUUGUAAUUCGUCUGGGACAAAAUGGCGCAAACAUAUUAUGCACUGAGGUUAUUGCUUAAAGAAACAGUUAUGAAAAACAAUAUGUUCCAUUUCUAACACCUUGUCAGUUUGCAAUAUCUCUUAAAGACAAAGUACACAGUUUA